AGAAGAGAAACGGUGUUUUUUCCUCCCAUUUGCUUACUGCGCUCACUUGACUCAAGCCAGCGCCUUUGACUUUGCCACAUAACUUAAAACAGAAUUAAUGUUUCUGAAACAAGAAACAAAAAUGUCAUUUCUUAUGGGGGAGGGGGGUGGGGGCAACAUAUUUCUCCAAAUAUCAGCUAGGUGGAGCUUGAGAACUGCGAAAUCAUACUAUUAACUCAGACUCUGCUGCUGUUCCGUCAGAAAGUUGUAGCUGAAGUGGUUUCCAAUGGGAAUGAGAAUAACUCCCAAUCUGGAAGCAGCAACAAAGAGCACGAAGGGCCGAAAUUCCUUCCCUUGUUUCUGAACGUCAAGUUCUUGUCAAAAUCAAACAACUGAAAAUUCACAGCAGGAUGCAGCAGAUUCUGGGGUGUACGCACAUUCAGCAUUUGUUCAAUACUGCUGGAAGACAGCCAUUCUCUGAUGAGCAGCAGUCAAAUCCAGGCUGUGGCAUUGGGGGGGGAUUUGAGGAAUGAGAGACUUAGAUACAAAAGCCUGGGCUUAUAUGUUACUAAGGCAGGUAAAAGCAGUGAACUCUUCUUAAGUGCACUAGCUUUCCUCCGAAGAGUGAUGAGCACACCUCAGGACUGCAAACAAUGAGGGGCUGCUGUAUCCAGACCGCAUCGUUGAUGAGAUCUUUUCACCCACACUCAAAACCUGAAAUGCCAUCCAUGACUGGUGAGCACACCCUGUCCAAGAGCACUGUACAGUCCAACUGUAACAAGGUAACUUGAACAGCACCAGUUUAAAACACAACAGACUGGACUUUGGAGAUGAGUAACAAAUAGGGAAAAGAGCGCCAGGCAAAAUGUGAUCAUCUCUUUGCACAGCUCGAACAACUCUGUCCUUAAAAUCCCAGUACUACAGAACAGGCAUUCAGUGGGGAUUUGAAAAGUGAUUCAGCUGUCCGAAGACUCCUGGUCUAAAACUACUACGCUUUGGUGAGUAAGAUACUCAAGUACACCUACAACCUUUAAGGUGCUUCUUUCCCCCACGAACUUCAAAGGCUAGGACAUACAUUUUUAAUAUUUCCUCUGAUAAGAACAUCUCCGUCCCACUUCCUCCUCUUGAAGAACACAAUGGUCCGAUUGUAGUCUGCAGCAGCCAGACAAAGGGAACUGUUUAUCUAUUUUAAGUUUAUUAUUCAUUUAGCUUGUAUUCAGGCGACUUACUUCUGUACCUGUUUAUUCAGCUGGGCAUGUUGCUGAAGCAGUCUUAUAUAAGCAGCUUAUACUCCAUGGGACAGCAGCAACACUGCACCCUGGUUUCGAACCCGCCAGCUUCUAGCUGUGUGUGCCACACUGAGUUCAAUCCUCCCAGUCCAACUACCUACAGAGAGCUUGCGUGAUGGUGUAACUAUCUCAAAGUUCCUUAAUGGAUAUUUAGGUGGUCUUCCCUGUGUCUCCAUACAAUGGAAGGGCAUGAACAGCUAUGAUUUUUUAAAGAAACCUCAUCUAAAUUGGGGAUGGAUUGUCUGCACCGAAGAAUAUCCCCUUAACCACAGAACAGCACAAAGCACAAUGGCACCACUGAACUUAAGUGGUGAAAAUGGUGGCAAAUGGCACGUUUUCCAACAAUCCAAAACGAGAAGACUUUAAUGGGAUGAGCCAUAAAUCGCCCCAGAGUAACUGUGAAAUUGAUGCAACACUUGAACUGUGUUCCAGCUGUACUGCUGCCAGCAGCCCCUGCUGUAAAAACCAAGUUGGUCCCCACAAGUACUUUUAAUUUCCAAGAUGACCUUUCACUUGCGAAGAAAUUUGUGCUUUGUCUCCUGAGAGACUAAAACGAGAAGGUUUGAUGAAGUUCAGCAGGUUAAGUGGAAUCCCAGAAAAUCACGAAAGCUUUUUUUUUUUGUAAAGUUGCGAACUGCCAAUUUUUGUUACACGCUGCAGAUUUGGAAGAGCAAAUGCUUAUUUUUUCCUUGCCCAGCGUGUCCUCUACAAACCCCGUGACCGCACACGGGGAGAGUGAGGAGGUGUGGGGGAACUUCCACUACACGCUUAGUGAAUCCUGCUUGGUCUCAAGCCUGCGAUCACAGAGCUUAAUCUACACUCAGACAGGAGGCUCUCACAGCGAGGGAUCCAACAGCUGGACACAGCCUUCAUGGGGUGACUAAACAUCUGGAAAUACUGGGUUCAUCAAUACUGGCUAAACUGGAUUACACUAUCAGGGACAACAGCAAACAUUAAACUAACACGUUGAAAAUUAA